GGCGAACGCUGGCGGCGUGCCUAAUACAUGCAAGUUGAGCGCUGAAGGUUGGUACUUGUACCAACUGGAUGAGCAGCGAACGGGUGAGUAACGCGUGGGGAAUCUGCCUUUGAGCGGGGGACAACAUUUGGAAACGAAUGCUAAUACUGCAUAAAAACUUUAAACACAAGUUUUAAGUUUGAAAGAUGCAAUUGCAUCACUCAAAGAUGAUCCCGCGUUGUAUUAGCUAGUUGGUGAGGUAAAGGCUCACCAAGGCGAGGAUACAUAGCCGACCGGAGAGGGUGAUCGGCCACAUUGGGACGGAGACACGGCCCAAACUCCUACGGGAGGCAGCAGUAGGGAAUCUUCGGCAAUGGACGAAAGUCUGACCGAGCAACGCCGCGUGAGUGAAGAAGGUUGUCGGAUCGUAAAACUCUGUUGGUAGAGAAGAACGUUGGUGAGAGUGGAAAGCUCAUCAAGUGACGGUAACUACCCAGAAAGGGACGGCUAACUACGUG
rnacentral:rRNA from 1 species